GACGAACGCUGGCGGCGUGCCUAACACAUGCAAGUGGAGCGACGAACCAGGCUUCGGCCUGGGGCAGAGCCGCGAACGGGUGAGUAACACGUGGGUAACCUGCCCUGAUGAUUGGGACAACCCGAGGAAACUCGGGCUAAUACCAAAUGUGCCCUCCGACCAUAAGGUCGCUGGGGAAAGGAAGCUUCGGCCUCCGCAUCGGGAUGGGCCCGCGGCCCAUUAGCUUGUUGGUGAGGUAAGGCUCACCAAGGCAACGAUGGGUAGCUGGUCUGAGAGGACGAUCAGCCACACUGGGACUGAGACACGGCCCAGACUCCUACGGGAGGCAGCAGUGGGGAAUCUUGCGCAAUGCGCGAAAGCGUGACGCAGCAACGCCGCGGUGGGGGAA
rnacentral:rRNA from 1 species